CAGAGUACUGUUUGAUUGCCCUGCAAAAUUACAUCAUACAAGUAUUGAGUAUCUAUGGUAAAAACAAAAAUUUUCUAGGUAGAUUGUAGGAUGUACUAGCACUGUCUGUCGUGAAUUUGGCAGCUGUAAAAUAUUUAAUACCUUUCUGUAUCUAUGUCCUUGUGUUGGUCCCUUGAUGUCCAUACCAUGACUGCCGGCAUAAUAAAGCUCCGAUAACUUAACAAAAUUGUAAACCUGAAAAUUAAGGAUUCUUUAGCUAAAAUGAAGCCUGAGAUAUUGUCGGGAAUACUAGAGAAGUAUUCAUUUCUUUACAUGAAUGUACCUUGGCUCUGCAUCUUCCGGUAACUAUUGCGGUAGGAAAAUGAUGAGCAAUGUCUCGCACAGCGUCUCUCAUCUGAGAAAAAAUAAAAAGCAACAAAUUUUAUUAAGUUCAUAUUAUAAUCUUUAGAAACAAAAAAGUUAGUGGAACAAGAAGAAAAUGAUGGAGAACAAACCUCAUUGGAGAUGAAAGCUCUGUCAGGGUCUUCAACAAUUGGAGAAAGUGUGCCAUCAUAGUCAAGAAACAUAACUAUCUGUUUCCCCUUCGAAACUUUUAUGAUUUCUUCAAACAUGCUUAAAGCCGAUGGAUGAUGAAGCUGUUAGAAUACAGACAAUUUCAAGAACAUUAGUUGAUAUUCGGUAUCUACCGAGAAAAGAUUACCAAACAGGCUUCGAAACUAACCAUCCAAGACUUGUUAACUUCUUCACUUUCAGAUGAUCUUCGAGGAGGCGAAGAAGAUCUCAUCGAAUCAACCCAUGCAUUGAUUCUGCCUCCGCCACCAGCAGUUUCGAGCACUUUCAGCGAUGGCUUUGUCCAAAUAAUAGGCGUACCACCACCUGGUGCAGCCAGAGGCUUAGGCACUGCUUGUGCGAAAAGAACUGGUUCACGCAUUGACACCACAAUCUCCAUGCUAAAGCCUGAUUUAGUAUCAGAAAUCACCACAUUUUGGUUGGUCAUUUUGCUUUAUAGAAGAUCAACCUGCAUGUUUCGUAGUAGUUUCUAAGACGGAGACUAAAUAAAUAAAAACAUAGACCAAGUCCACAUAAAAGACCAUACGUUAAUUAGUAGAAUAUUACUAUGAAGUACCUGGAAAAGACUGGGGAGUUUUUAGUCAAAAGGAAGGGAAAAAAAAAGGGCAGAAAACAGAGUUUUCUUGUGUGGACAAUAAUGCAGAAUUGCAGAGAAAGCUCUGAGAUAUUGUUAGUGCAAAAACAAAACCAAUGCUAGACACGGAGUUGUAGAGUGAUAGAGAAGAGAAGAGAGAAACAGGCGCACCCACAAAGUCACUAGUUACAAAUUAAGGAGGGGACUGCGUCUAGUCAAUUUAUAAGUAAGUUCAGAGCACUAUGGGACGAAGCAUCCCCACUUUUUCCGGCUCUUCUUGUUGCUUUGUGCCAAAAGAUUACUCAGGUGUGAGUCUAAUGCUACAGUUCUUUUUUUUGGAUUCAUUCAGCCCCGUUAAGUUGCUGUUUACUUUCGUUUUUUCUUCUAAACAGAUGACUUAAAAGGUAAGUAGUCUAUUUAUGAACAGCUAAUCCGAGGGGUUUUUCCAUAUGUGAUCAACGACAAAUAAUUGACCACCUAAUGCCUUCACGAUACGAUUUUUCAAUAUUAUUAAGAAAUUAAUCACUAAUCGGGAAGUUACUAAUGCCAUCAUGGUGUAUUUGAAUGUGUGAGCAUGGACUUAAUCACUAGAUGUUAAUUCUACAGACACACGUAUUCAUUCAUUGCUUGCUUAUUGACUGUGUUGAAAUUAUUGUUUUGUCUCCAACUUACGACCCUAUUUUCAUUUUCUUAUAUCUUUUCUGGGGGCCUUUUUUUUUUUUUUUUUUGAUAAUGGGAGUGUUUUCUUCUUUUUGUUUGUUCUUUAAGUGAGGUGAGGAUCUUGGUAAAUAUUCUCUCACUUGGAUGAGAACUGGAAAUCAGCUUGGAAUUGGCAUUAACUCUUACCUGCCCCCACUAAGGAAUGGCUAGGAUGCUAAAGUUGUACCAAAAGAUUGGUGUAUUAGAUUCAUUAGCACUAUUAGGAUUUCAUUAUGAAAACAACAUGAGAUCGUACCAUUAUUUAAAUGUAUGGUGAAAAAUGAUUUAGUCCCUUAUGAGCCAAACCUUAGUAUUUGGUGAGCAGAGGUGUCUAUUCCUAUUCAUUAGGGACCUUGUAUCGAAUCUAAUCAUUGCAAUUUUACAUGUUAAUAAGAUACAAAUUAUCUAAACACUGCCAUGUAAUGACAGCCAGAGCUUUUAUUUCUGAUUCAUCUGAAAACGUGCAAAAAAUGGUCUUUUAUCACUAUAGGUUUUUUGGUCUUACCAUAAUGUUGAUUUUGUAUUGGUGGACACGAAGAUAAAACAAUGGUGCAGUAACAUUCUAAGCUUUCUAAGGAUGAUAUUUCGAAGAGAAAAAAAAACAUCUAGAGAAGAGCAAAAUACCUUUUACUUGUGUGUGUGCAUGUGUCAACUAUAUAUGAGUCUUUGUGGUUGUUCGUGUGCAGAGAGUAGCCAAAUUCCCGCACCAUAAAAAAAAUGUUGUACUAAGAUUACAAUAGCUUUUAUUUCGUAGUUUUUUUUUAAAAAAAAAAAUUUUUUCGUUCUAGCAGAGAAGAGAAGAGUUGAGAUUUAAGAAACGGGGAAGGGAAAAGAGAAAUUGAAACCCCAGGACCUUUAAGUCUUGGGUCUAUUAUUUCAUAGUUAACUUUCUUGUACUUGAUUGUAGAAUUAAACAGAAUAAAAGAAAGAAAAUCAAUGGUAGAAAGAACAAUAUAUCUUUAGAUGGACUAUAGGGUGGUAACUAUUGAGCAAACUCUAAACUCUGGAAUGUAACAGCCGAAGGUGGUCGAAAGAAAAUUAUUAGUAUUAUUGUUGGCGUAAAAGCUCUGCAGUCAAGAGAAUCUCACUAAUGGAAGUUUGCCGGAAUAAUUGCCGUAAUGAUUGAUACCUAUGAUAAUAUAAGAACAUCUAUGAAAAGAAUCUACUGAGUUCAAAGAAAUACAGAUUAAAAAAAAAAAAAAAAGGAACAUUGACUAAUAUAUGAUUCCUUCAGGAAGUUGCUUGCAUCAGCAGUGUUCUAGAAAUCACUAUGCUAUCUUAAUUAUGUUGCUUUUGAUUCUGUAUCCAUUUUCUUCAAGUAAUUAAUUAUUCAUCUGUGGAUGAAAAUUUUCUUUUCAGGCACGUAAGAAGAAGUAUUUGCACUGUGAAAUACAUAGAAUUACUGACUUUUAAAUGCACUAAUAAGCUGGACAUUUGAAAAGUUUUCUUAAGCAACGUAGUAGACAUAAAUUUCAGAUGGCCAUCAUCUUAUUCCACAAAGUGGCUUUAUGUGGUUUGGUAAGAUUAUGAGGUACAAUGGUGCUUCUCCUGCAAUGCGGUCAUUUCCUUCCAAUCGAAUUUGGUUAAGGCACGUAGCAUCCUGGACCCCUUUAUUGGACUUUUCUGCAACAUAAAGUACUGAUGUUUAUUGAAGUACUUCCCAUUGCCUUGAUCAAACUUUACUCCCCCCCGGGUAAUUAGGUAGCUUGAUAAAUCACUGGCAUCGGUCUGCCAGUGACCAGGGUACGACGCUUAGAAUUUUCUUCAUUGUUAAAGUUAUGAUUCGAAUCCUAUGAGCUAGAGAGGGGGAUAGGAGUGUAAAUGAGUCGAGUCGAGUUUUGGUCUAAUCGAAUCAAAUCUUAAUUUAAUUUUAUGAAAUUCGAACUCAAUCUUGAAUGUAACGAGUUUAAAAUGUAAAACUCGAACUCGAUUUAAAAAAUAAUAAUAAUAAUUUAUUUAUUUAUUUUUAAAAAUAAAUAAAAUAAUAAUUUUUCGUAAUAAAUAAUAAAAUAUUAUGAAUAUAUAUAUAAUUUUACUAUUAAAAUAAAAAUAAUAAUAUAUAUAUAUAAUCAAACCGACUCGCGAGCUAACAAAUUGAAUAUUUUUAAAUUCAAAUUUGAGUUCGAAUUAGGUUUGAUCAAUUCGAACUCGACUUGAAUUCAAUGUUGACCGAGUCUGAGAUUCGAGUUGUUUGCGAGCGGUUCACGAGUGAUUCGAUUCGUUUACGGCUCUAGAGGGGAAAGGACGUGAGAAGGGGUGAAUAUCAAUUUUCUUAAAAAAUGGUAGCUUUGAUGAAGUUUACUGCAUACUGAGAAUUUAGUCAAUGUGAAACUUCGGUACUGAAUUACUAAGGACUAAAACAUAUCCCAAGAAUCUAGGGACCAAUAUAAUCACUACUGAGAUAUUCGCAGUAUUACAGCCAGAGAUUCGAACGGAUCAAGGGAAUAUAUGUUUAUCCAUUCAUGUUCAUCUUGUCAAAUUUUUCGUGAAUGCCAAAAGCACAUUUUGUUUUAGAGCGAUCACCUAAUUAUGUCCCAACCUCAUUAAAAUCUUCAGCCAAUUUGGAGCAUAAUGUACAAGAUUUCACAAAACCCUCCAGGCAUAUUGAGUUUGAACAAAAGUCCAAUUAAGUAUCGGGUUCAAGACGAAAAAAAUUCAAUAAAAAAGACUUUGAAUAAUGCUGCCCAAGAACUAAAGAGAAUUUGAAAAAUACAUAAUUAUAUUUCCAUAGCGUAAUUGACCAAGUGGUAAGCCGUCUUUAGCUUUUUCUAAUUUUAGGCGUACAAGAAAAUCUGGAAAGCUUUUACUAUUCUCCCAAUUUACCAAAUUUUUGUCUUUCUUCGCGUCUGUUCUUGAAGGUCCUCGAAUGGCUUUUAUUUCUCUCUCUCUCUCUCUCUCUCUUUCUUCUUUUCCAUCAAGCUUUAGUCACCGCCAAAUUGUCUCCGUUGUUGUCACAUGAUGACUUGAACGUUUCGUGUGUUGUUGAACAUUCAAUUCCUAAAAUACCACGGACAAUCUUACAAAUCAGAAGGCCUAUUUUACUUUAUUACCAAAAUAGUAAUUAAAAAAUUCUUACUCUGUGCUCUACUUCACCGUACAUCAUAACUAGGCGUACAAACGACUCAAGUCGAGUCGAGUUUUGACCUAAUCGAAUCGUAUAAAAUUCGAACUCGACUUCGAACUCGAAAUAUAAAGCUCGAUUUUAAAAAAAUAUAAAAAUAAUUAUUUUUUAAAAAUAAAUAAAAUAAUAAUUUUCUUAACAAAUAAUAAAAUAUUAGAGAUAUAUAUAUAAUUUUACUAUUAAAAUAAAAAUAAUAUAUAUAAUCGAUUUUGAACUAACUCGCGAACUAACGAAUUUAGUAUUUUUGAACUCGAUUUCGAGUUCGAAUUUGACUUGGUCAGCUCAAACUCAGACUCGAGUCGUUCGAUUCGUUUGCAACCCUAAUCAUUACAUGAAUUAAUGCAUAUUACUUAUUGGAGAUGGGAUCAUUUUAGUCAGCAUUAGUGAGACCUUGUACUUGCUUUUUAAAUGAUUAUCAACAUUACGAGUAUAAAAAUUUACUAGCGUAUUAAGAUGCAUGACGUGCAAUCUCUGUUCACAUUUGAUGUUCCUUUUUUUAUACAUGUGACGACAUGCAUCCGGACUUACCUUUCAAGAUUAAUCCUCAGUUGAAUACGAGAAAACAACAAGAUUUUAAGACAUUUUCUAAGAAAAGCAUCAAUAGCAAUUUAUCUUACCUGCCUUUUUGUCUAGUCAAUUCCAUUAUUGUAACACUUGCCUUCUGGCAGAAUAUGAUUGCUCAUUCUAUAUUAAUCUGAAAACAUCUUUUUCGUAGCAAAAAUGGCGAGCAGGGUAACUGCUACCAAACUAUUGUCAUUAUAAAUCAGAUUGCUUUUCAAGCUAACCGCCCCUUGAAAUUGUGAUGGAAACUACCAGCGAACUCUUGGCUAAAUCAGCUGCUGCAGGAAAACCAGCAGCAUCGUGUUUCGACACAUUAAUUUGGCAUCAAACGUCAAUGUCUCGAUUGCCUGUGUCUGAUUUAAACCGCUUUAUUUCUAUUCGUUUCUUUCUCGUCCUCUCUGCCACUUCUGGCUUUUGCAUUUGCAUCGAGUCAGCAACUGAGUUUUAUUUAUUUACUUUUUGCACGUUCAUAUUUUGAACUAUAAUGCCUUCCAAAAUAGUAGUACACUAUCUUUUGGCCAUGGCAUUAUUGUGAAGAUAAGAAGUAGGACUUUAAAAAGUAGGAAAAGGGAAGGGGGAAUUUCAAUUUAGGAAUUCUAACUAAUUUUUGAGAUUUCAACCUUAACUGUUAGAUUAACACCUCUUUGGCUUUGAAACAAAACCAUUUUCUUCACACGUAAGAAAAGUCAGGAUUAGAAGACUUUGAAGAAAAAAAAAAAAAACUUUCCGGUGUAAUGAACCUUUCUGAGAAAGUACAUUGAUUGAUACAAAAACAUUUUUCAUUGACUGGAUUCAAAGUUUUACAUGGGUUCAUUUUUGGUAUAAUACAGUUGUAUAUUGGACAUCUACAGAAGGAAGUUUGCCAGAAACUUCCUUGGGGAACAGCAGUCAAUAUAUAUGUUUUUUCUAUGAAGCAUGCUGCCAAUAAUUUUGCAUUAAAACUGGAAUCCAUUUUGCUUUUGUUGUGGUCAAAAUGUUCUCUUAGGAAUUAAGAAAGAUGUAUUGGGAAUAUUUGGAUGACUUUUCUGCUAGUUCACAUCGGUGUUUAAGAAACUAAACUUCCCUUUUGCAGGACAGCCUUUGGCGUAUUAAUUCAACGACGCCCACAAAAUCUACCGACCAUGCCGCUUAAUUCAAAGUGAGAGAGCCUCACAGAAUUUACAUAUGCCAAACUCAACAGACAACCUUUAUCAACCACUUCUUGUUUUCAAAAUUAGAAUCCAAAAGCAUCCAUUUUGCCUUUAAAGCGUUUUUGCCUCUAAAAAAAAAUAAAAGCAUAUUUCCAAAAGCAAUUGAAAAGAGGAAAAAAAAAGUUUUUGAUCACAAUCAAGUCCUAAACUCAGGUGUUUAGAAUGGUUUUAAAGCAAGCUUGAAUCAUUUUGAGACCCAUAAUCAGAUUUUAAUUUCUGUGUUCUUACUUUUUGAAGUAUCCACACCUAAAACUCAAUAAAGCUGUGUUAGUAUAAUUUUCUAGUUACAUUUUUAAGUUUUUAAGGAGUGUAUCUUUCAAAGCAAGAGAUUCUUUCGUUUGUACAUGUUUUACGUUUGAGAAUGAGCAUAAAUCCCAUGUUCGAAUAGUUUUUCUAAUGUGAAAGUUUCUUUUGCACUCGACGGGUUCUCUUUGGUUUCCUUCCAUGCAUGCACAGUCAAAACAAGGGACCCUAAAAGAUGCUUUAUGAAGAAUUACAAAUUGUGAUCAAUCUCUAACGUUUACUGAAUAACUUCUAAACUAAUGCUUUAGGAGUUGUCAUCAAGUGGUGAAUUGUCAAAAAGUAAGUUAGGCAGAUGGAAGGAUACUAAUUUAUUUGAAGGCGUGAAUCUUUGAUUUGGUUUACAAGAAAUGGAAUAAUCGUUGUGGUCAAGGGAAGAUGCUUAAGAGUCUUCUAUUAUCAGAUUCAAUGUUCCAAUUUUAUGCCUAAUAAUUAAGAGUGACAAGGGUGUGGAGAGGGCGUGAAGAUAAAAAAAUAUACUUUUCUUUCCCUGCUCAAACUUGGAGCCUAACCUCGAAUUAAUUAAAAUUCAAUCUAGCUUGAUGCAUAUAAUUGUUACAAUUGGUAUGAGAAUUUAGCGGCAGUUACAGUGCAAAAUCAAGUUUUAUGGCUUAUUGUUAAGCCUAGUUGUGUAGGUUUAGAGUGGCUAAGAAAGCUAACAUAUAUUCACAUAAAGCACCUUUGAAAAAUGACACAAUUUAGUCAUGAGGAAAAUUAUUCCUAAUUAAAGUGAUUGAUUAAUUAAUUAAUUGAGUAGAAAAUACUUAUAUGCAUCUUAGGGAAUAAUUAGUAGGAACCAAAACAAAACUCUACAACUAGUGGGAGUUGUGUUUAGUUUUUUGUUUGUUUGUUUUUGUGGAUCAUAGAGUUCCUUAGAACUAUGUGUUAGAUUUGGAAUUUUUUUGGAUCUUCCUGUCAAAUCUCAGCAUCAGUUUUGAAUUUAAACCAGUUGAAUAGUAGAUAUGUAGGAAUAGAUAUGCACACAUAUUUAUACAGCAACUCAUGCAAUUGGUCAGAUUUAAUGAUUUGUGAUUCUUAGUGUUAUAUUGUAUAUUUUGUAAUUCUGUUAAAUUUAAUGAAUUUUCAAAUUAGAUAUAUCGAUGACACGUUCUAUAUAUUUUCUGCCAUUAAUACAGUUUUAUUUGUCAAGCAAAUCAUACUAGACGACUUUCAACUAGUUUAUUAAUAAUAUUAACUUCUGUUUUAUCAAAAAAAUAAAGGGUGGUUAACUAGUUUAAAGCUAUCAUUAGAAGUGUCUCUUCAUCCUUUUCAAAUAAUUGAUGCCAUUAAAUUGUGAGGCAUGUUAAAAACUUCAUAUCUAUGUGUGUGUAUUUAUUUGAAAUAUUAUUUAGAAUAAUUAUUGCAGCACAUUUUGUGAUGUGAUGUAUGUGAGAUAAAAAAUAGUUAGAAAAAUUAAAAAAUAUGUUUAUAAUGCAAGCAAAUAAUUCUUAUCCAAAUAAUGCCCAUCCAAAAUAGAUGAUCAAAGUGCUUAUAUAAAAAACCAGAACUUUUAGCAUAACGUUAAAUCAUUGUGAACUUUUACUCUCUUGUAAAAAAAAACAAUUUCAAUGUUCAUAUUGGACCAGAUAUGGAUAUCAGCCUCAAGAACCAGCUUUCGAUUCUGAAAAGCAAGAAAUGGUACAGAUGUCGCCAUUCUUAACUUCGGUCCCCCUUCUUCCCAAACAAAGAAGGUAAAAAGAGUUAGAGAGGAAAGCAUGUAAGGACAGAAAAUUUAGUCCAAUAAGUGUGAUUCGAGAAAUACAUAAGUAUUUCCUUUUUAUCUUUUUCAUCUCUUAAAAAAACACAACUUAGAAAAAAACACAUAUAUUUGACUCUUAAAAAAAAAAACAAAAAAGAAUGAAGACACAACUUAGAAUCUACCUUGGCCUAGCACUGGAAUAUUUCGUUUUUGCAUUAAUUUGGGUUAAAAGCUAGUAUAAAAAAAAAAAUUUAUCAUUGAACUUAUAUUCAUUUCUUUUCCUUUGACAUUUUCUAGAGCAUUGCUUGGCGAAUUUGAUCAGGUGGAGCUAACGAAUUGAAAUUUGAGUUACUGGCCUACCAACUUCACCAACUUUAUAGAAUUACCAACCUUACUUAAUCGUCAUGAAUUUUGGAAGUAACUUUCUUAGCUCUUGUGAGAGGCAAAUCACUAAAAAGAUCUUUGCAUUGUUGUUCCUCCUCCCAGGCACCUCCUCUACAUAAAUUAUACAUUAGUUCAAGUCAGUUAAGAAAGUUUUAGUCUAGCGAUUAAAAUUAAAACUCCAGAAUUUAGACAUUUUGGAUUUUAAUACCCUUUUUCUCUAUCUCUCCACUUCUUAAAUUCAACCGCUCUCUUGUUAGCAAAAAAAUAAAAUAAAUCAAGCGAAACACGAAUAAUACGGUACAUCCUUUCUUAAUUAAUAUUUCUUCGAGCUCAAAUGCAUUGAUAAGAAAGUUAGCAAACACGCAGGCUGUGUCUUGUUUAUUAUAUUCAUGACUCUUUUUUGCUCCAAAACCAUAAUCUUGCUCUUAAAACCUAUUUUCCAUCUUUAAUACCAUAAAAUUGGGUACUACUGCUUGCCUUUGCGUACCUUGUGUGUAUAACACAUUUGCUAAACAUUGAGGAGCCUAGCUAGAUUCUUGAUUUACUAGAUUCUUGAUCGGUUGAUCAUUUCCAUUGGGCAAACGGGGCACAGUGCCCACUUAAUUAGUCAACAAACUAUUAAAUAGAUUUGCUUAAGGCUUCUAACCCUUCUUAAAUUAAUGGCCACUAAUCAGAGCCAAGUUUCUUCUUCCAAGAGUCGUCGGCAUGCAAAGGUUUUAAGGUUGCGUUCAAAGCUUAAACUUCAUACCAACUGAAAAAACUGCCACACUAACCGCAACCACGGGUCUUUCUGUUAAACAUGGGCCCGGUUUGGAAGAGAAAAAACGCAGCUGCUGGUGGACCCAAAUAGCUUUUUGACGUGACAUGAUUGUUGGCCUGGCAAUGAUUCAUCUGGACCCACCAGGUAUGGCCCACACAGGCCCAAAAUGCUCUGCCCACUUCAGCCACCACCCCCACUUACAACUUCACUUCUGCCAACUCCCCCCACCUUCCCACAAAUCUGAAUAUCCUUCCAUUAGUUCCAUGGGCCUCUUCUCUUUUGAAGAUUUUCAUUCAUUUUAAUAUUUCUUAAGGUUGGGUAGGAGAAUUUGUUGAGUUAGAUGGAUCAAAAGUGGAUUGCAUCUGCUUAUGAGUUUUUUUUUUUUUUUUUUUUUGGGUACUAUCUAUCUCUUCAAGUGAAUGACCUUAGUUAGGUGCAUGGUUCACAACACAUGCAAUGGUGCAUUUUUGCAAUGCAAAUUUGGUUAGAAAGAGAGGGCAUAAUUUGCAACGUAUUUCAAAUAAUUGUAAUUAGCUUUUAUCAUGAUUGUGAUGUUUGCAAUAAUUUAAUUCAUUGUAGGAAACCCUUACCUUACCCCAUGGAAUGAUUUUUCUCUUCAAAGGAGUCUGUCUCAAUCUAACCUCAUAAAAUGUCUUGUUUCUUGCUUUGUCUUUUCAUAUCAAUUGAAGUGGUGCCCCUUUGUGGUCAAAUUUGUAAUCAUAACAAGAAGAAAACAGCAGUAACACAAAUUUAUCAACUUUUAGCCCCAACCCCCACAAAAUCUCCGCACGCACCCUUAACAUCUCAAUAAUGAAUGUUUAAUGAGGCUAAAGUUUUUUUUUUUUUUUUUUUUUUUUUAAUGAACAUAUAUAUUGGAGAGCGCAGGUAUAAGCUUUAUUCAACAUCAAGUAUCUUAUCGCACACGGAACCCUUUUGAAAUCAUCAUCACAUCAAACAUCGACUGAAGAAAGCUUUUAACUAUAUUAAGACUUGAGAUCGACAAUCCUUUUGAACGAAAUUAUUGGCGUGAUAUCAAACAGAUGUAUCCUUUAUAGAAAGUGGAAUAAUCAUAUAUAGCUUUGAAGCUUAUUCUAUCUACUUGUUGUUAUAUAGUAAACGAUGAUAUUAACAUCACUCUUGGAUUCUAACUAGCUAGAUGCAAAUUAAGCGCACCACCUACAAUGGUCCACAAGGAAACGUGCUGCUGCGAAUUGACACUUGUUGUUGUGUCUUCGUCUGUAAAAACCAUGCACUAUACUAACUUCCCAAGCUGCAAAGAAAUUAUUAUGGUAUCCCAGCCCGAAAGGCAGCUCAAUAAUUAAGGAUAGAAAGUAAAAUUCCAUGGCCUUCAAUUCCAUCCCUUCUUCCGUCGGAUAUCAGCCAAGCUUUUUGAGAGUGAAAGAUCUGACGGAAUCCUAAUGCAUGCCCAUCUGCAGAGCCAUUCUCCAAGAUAUGUAUACUUACUCACGGAAUCCAUAUAUUUGUAAGGUCUCUUUCUCACGGAUUAUUUGCCUUUAAUGAUAUAGUAAGCGCAAAGGGCGAAUUGGCCCUUUGGCUCCGUGAAGUCGCACAAUUCCUUUGCUCCUUCAACGUGCCCCUUUGUCCAAAACAUGAUGAAGACAAAUCGAACGGUGUGAAGAACAAUUCUUGCAAACUUGUUAGCGUGCCUUUGUAAAAUGCAAAUACGCUUUCUUGAAACUUCUUGCCCUUGGCCGAAAGGAAGCUACAAAAACAAAAAGAAGUCAAUACACAAGCCAAGUUGACAACUACUGUGUGCUUGAACAGCUUGAAUAUUCCUCCAAAUCGAAGAUUAUGCAGUGAGGUGACUGGCUUGAGAAAGUUAACAAAGACAUUUUAUGAUAUCUCGUGCUUAUAUGCUUUGCUUGAUUUGAUUGCAUCCUAGCACAGAAUGACAUGGAGAAGUUGAAAUGUGAUUCGUAUUUGCAUAAGCCCGAAUAUACAGCAAAUUCCACGUGCUUAUUAGUUGCUCAGAAAAGAAAAAAAAAAAAAAAAAAGGCGCUUAUCACUCAAAGAACACGCUAGCAAUUAUACGAAAAGAUGCCAUUUUGCUAGCACUUUGAUUAUAUUCAUGCGCCGUUGCCACCACGCCCUUAAGGUCCAUUCGUCGGCCUUUGUUUGGAUAGUCAACUUAUUCUAAAUAUUAUUUCGCUUGUAUCAUAAACACAUUUUUUAACUCACCUUUUUAUAUCCCUAACCACCUUUUUAUCUCACAUACAUCACAUCACAAAAAAUGCUACAGUAAUUAUUCUAAAUAAUAUUUCAAAUAAUACCCUAUCCAAAUAAUAUUUCAAAUAGUACUAAAAGAAUUACUAUGUAGAAAUUACUAUGGGUUUGCUAUUCUAGUCAAUGGAUGAUAUGUAGAAAGAAUUACUACUAAGAUCAUGGUUCGGUAUCGGCCGAGUUGUAAUCGGAACGAAGGGAACCGGCACGAUACUGAUUCCUAAAUCACGGAUAUUAUCAUAUCGGGGACGAUUCGCUCUGACUUGGUUGAUAUUAGUCAAUUUGACUCCGUGAAGCAUGAUAUCAUAUCGGCUGAUAUAUCCGAGUCCACUCGGAGUCGACUCGGAUAUUUUUUUAAAUUAUGCAUUUUUUGAUAUUUUCUAAUUUUAGUAAUUUUUUCAAAAUUUUUGGAAACUUUUAUGUGCUAUAAUAUGCGUAUCAUCUGAUAUUCAACUGAUAUGCCGUGAUGGAUGUGGAACAAUCGAGACCGCAACGUGACUGCGACCCGCGAUGGCGAACCAUGACUAGGAUUUCCACAUUAGUUGGCUUCCAAGAACAGCCAGGCAAAGUUGAAAACGUAUAUGAUACAAAUACAAACAAAUUAAAUUGAAAAUGCUUUUACUCUUGGCCCUUGAAUCAUACUAAGAUUUUGUAGUCCUUAGACAAUAGCUAGCUAGAUAGCUAGCAUUUCUUGUUAAUGGCAGCUACAUCAAUGAGGAAUCAAAUGAAAUUGUUGAAGGAGCGAUGCUUCAAUUUAUAUAUGAAGGGCACUGAUUCCCCUUUGAUUAGCAAUUCUUAAGAUAUACGUGGAUUAAGAUUUUGUUCUUUUGGAAGCUUAUUUAGUGCUCCACAAUCUGGAUUCUUGAGUGUGAGUUGACCAAUCGAGCAGCUACUGCAACCGCAACCUUGUAGUCUCAAAGGAGAGGGACUAAAACCCCACUUGAGAAGUGAACUUAUAAUCUUUUCUUGCAAUUUGUACAAUAAAUAUGAAUGCAUCGAGUACUAAAAUAUUCACGAUCCAUAUCUUGUUAAAGAAGAAAGGGAACAUUCUUUUUAUCCUAGAAUGAUCUUUCUGGAGAUAAGAGGAUCAUGCAUGAACUUGCAGAAAAAGUGAAAUAAAUUGAGAUAUCAUCAUAUCCACAUGUAGCAUGCUGGCAAAUGAGAGGUAACAUCUUAGCGGCACCCACUACUUGUAACGAUGACUCUGCAUCUCACAUUUAGCUGACUCCACUUUUUUCGUUGAUUGCAAAUUCACUAAAUUUAAGAUAUUGUUCCUUUCGAACUUUCAUAAAUAACAUCAUUGUCUUGUUUGAAGUCUUUUCAAACGGUUAAGAAAACAAAAACCAAUGUCGGGAAAGUGCUCCGUUCGUCUUGUGAAAUUUGAUCCAAUCAUGUAUGAGUUUGUUUGAAGAUCAAAUAUCAAAGACCAAAUAUCAAAGAACAGCACUAUUUUUGUAGAUUGCCAUGACUUGUCCAUCAUAGAUGUAGAAUAUCGUUAAUGAGGACCCUAAGGGACCUUUUGCUGUCAAAUGCUUGAGUUUGAUUAAAGUAAAAACGCUUGGCUGCAAUACCAUGCCUUUAUCAUCAAAGAAAUCAAGCCAACAUCCAUCCUCAGAUGCUUGAGUUGACCUGGCUCAGGAUAUUCAUGACUGAUCUCCACGAGCGUGCAGGAGGACAAGGCCAGAGUAAGCAUCUAUUAGAAUUUAGAACCAGGCAGGAAAGGAAUAGAAAACCAACUUUUAGUGGCAUUGUAAACCAACCUCCAGGAAAUUAGUUUCCAACGUACGAUUCUCCAGAUGACAGAUAUAGCAGGAAAGCAGACAGGACAACCGGCUAUGGUUGGAAGUUUGUCUCCGGUGCAAGGAUAAGGCGUUCUUCUUCCGAAACUAGGAUGAUCUUCGGCUACAAAUGCUAACUGAUUCAUCACUGACAUAGUUCUAUCUUCAAGUGUCGCAACAUGGAGAUAGACUGGAGACUAGAAGAAGAUUGACCAGCUUCCCUGCCCCCAUCUUAACAAGUUCAAUUCUAGACUUUGCAUUCUUCUUUGAAUGCAUCUCAAAACAAAGCCUGAACCCGACCGGGGUCAAGCCUUGGUGCAACUGCAUGAUACAAUUCACUACUAGGGGCUUUCACUCUCAAGAAGCUUCCGGAGCUAUUUUGUCUAAUGGUCCCGUAGAACAUUAAGACCAGCCUUGAAGAACAUUUCCUUUGAGUCCAAUACUCAUCCCUGGACUCCCAAGGCAUCUUGUGUGAGCUUUUGCUUUUAAAAUUGGUAAUUUCGACUUAGCCUUUUGUUCCAAAAACAGCAAAAACAUAGUUCAUCUGUUUUAUCUAAUAGGAGUAAGGAUAAAGAUGGAUUUCAAAAUUCAAAACCAUAUAUUAUUACACGCACGAUACUCGUGAAAAAGCACAUCAACAACCAACAGAAUUAAGCACUUGAUAAGCACUUUCUUUGAAACAUCUGUUUAGUUUAGUGCUUGGCUAUAAGCCAGGAUCAAUGCUGCCUCAAUCUUGAUAAGAGGAAUAUAUAGAAACAAGACAACUGCAAUUCUAACCAGUAUUGUCAGAACUCAGGUUAAAAAAUGGUAUAAAUAAAACCAACGUUAAACUUACCACAUACAAUAACUCAAAAUUCUACAAUAAUUUACCUAGACAACCAGCACCCUAUAUCCCAAAGAAAGCCAAACGUAAACACAGUAUUGCUUCAGAGCCAAGGGUUAGACAGCAGUUGCAAUUUGAACGCUCAACCACUGGUUGAACUACAUCUCCGGUUAUAGGAUCACCAACUCUACAUGCUUGGGUACCAGUUGUUUUACCUCUUCCAGAGCAGAAGUUAUGGCAGCCUUGCGGACAUGACCAUGGAGAUUAUAUUUAAGAUGAUCAGCUAGUUGACUCCGAGGAUCAAUAACAAUUUUUUCAAGGGCAGCAGCAUUCUCAACAAAAUACAUGAGAAGUUCAACAUCACUAGUGCGACCACAAUAUCCACGCAACUCAAUCACUUCAAGGAAUAUGAGGGCACAUUUUGCACCCUUUACCUUAUCUCUGUUUUUCUUUGAAGGUGUUGCCCAAGCUAACUGUUAAGAAGAUAUAUUGGCAAUUAAACAAGCAUCACAAGGUAUGACAACUGGUAAGAGAACACAAAAUGCAAGACUAACAAAAGCUACAAAUAUCAAAGAACAAACUUUUUUUUUUAAAAAAAUCGAAGAACAAACUUUGAGACCUAACAGGACAAUUAACAAAAGUCUGUAACAGUAAUAUUCUAGCACAUGGUGCUGAGGACAAACAUAAUUGCAGCAUCUAGAAGUAAGUUGCAGACAUAAAAAUCAACUAUGUAGUAGUAAGUUUCACAUGAACAUAAAAGAAACGUUAUCUUCUAUAGCACAAAUCAGAAUCAUGUUAAUCUAGAAGAACCAUGACAUCAGCAGAAAAGUAACCAAACAUAGAUUGAGAAAAGCACCCAAACAUAGAUUGAGAAAAGCAUUCAUCCAAGUCAUAUACCCAUUCGUUGAAAAUGCUUUCUAAGUUCCUCUACAUUCCAUUUCUGGCUAUCCCACCAAACAUACGUCAUUCUAGUCUCAAGGCAUUACAAGAAGGCAGCAACUGACCAACAAAAUAGCAAGCAGCAGUUUCAGUGCAUUAAGUAGCAGAGAGGCUGUGUUGAAUCCAACAGAAUUUUGUCCCUUCACCGGACCCUCAAGUACGAAAAGAUUGGGCCAAUGGGAAAACUCAGAGAUUAUAUUUCUUAAAAUUCUGAUUUCGAUAUUUAAAGCAGUUCCAGCACAAUAAAUGGCAAUGAAAUGCUUUGGACUACUUGAGACUAUUCUUUUACUAUUUAUAUAUCAUGCUUACGGACGAGGACAAGUAAAAUUGGUACAUUAAAAGGGAGGUUCAAGUAAAUCUCUCAGCUCUUUCUGGAAGCAAGCACCCACAGACUUUACAUUGUCAAACAGUCCAACAGGAGCGACAGGAUAGAUAUGAAUUUAUCUGUCCUGAAGACCUAACAAGAUUCCCAAUCAUCUCUCCUCUAUGAUGUCAGCAGCGAUACGGAACUGAAGUGCUUCUUAUUGGAUGCUUAGCUGAGUUGAUUCUAGCACUCUCCAGCUGCAAGCUAUUUCAUGAAUUGCUUUUGACUGCUGAUAGCGUUUCUUUAGCAACAAAAGAGGAGAAAAACAGACAAAUUUUUCUAGA
rnacentral:lncRNA from 1 species